GACGAACGCUGGCGGCGUGCCUAAUACAUGCAAGUCGAACGGUCUUUUCUAUGGAAGCUUGCUUCCGCUGAGAAGAUAGUGGCGAACGGGUGAGUAACACGUGGGUAACCUGCCCAUAAGAGGGGGAUAACAUCCGGAAACGGGUGCUAAUACCGCAUAGUUUUCUUGAUCGCAUGAUUGAGAAAGGAAAGACGGCCUUUGUGCUGUCGCCUAUGGAUGGACCCGCGGCGUAUUAGUUAGUUGGUGAGGUAACGGCUCACCAAGACGAUGAUACGUAGCCGACCUGAGAGGGUGAUCGGCCACAUUGGGACUGAGACACGGCCCAAACUCCUACGGGAGGCAGCAGUAGGGAAUCUUCCGCAAUGGACGAAAGUCUGACGGAGCAACGCCGCGUGAGUGAAGAAGGUUUUCGGAUCGUAAAACUCUGUUGUCAGAGAAGAACAAGUCGGAGAGUAACUGCUCCGGCCUUGACGGUAUCUGACCAGAAAGCCACGGCUAACUACGUGCCAGCCGCCGCAGUAACAC
rnacentral:rRNA from 1 species